rnacentral:rRNA from 1 species
CUUGGUCAUUUAGAGGAAGUAAAAGUCGUAACAAGGUUUUCGUAGGUAUGUUAAGCAUCGAGUUCCUUCCUUUUCGUGACAUUUCGCUAACUUGUGUCGUAGGUGAACCUGCGGAAGGAUCAUUACUGAGUUAGGGUCUUCUCUGGCCCGACCUCCAACCCUGUGUCUACCUUACCACGUUGCUUCGGCGGGCCUGCCGACAGGAUCUGUCGGCUGCCGGUGGGCUCAACCCCCGCUGGACAGUGCCCGUCGAUGGCCAACCUCCAAAACUCUUGAAGAACCAUGUCGUCUGAGUACCAAACUAAAUAAAAGUAAAAACUUUCAACAACGGAUCUCUUGGUUCUGGCAUCGAUGAAGAACGCAGCGAAAUGCGAUAAGUAAUGCGAAUUGCAGAAUUCCGUGAGUCAUCGAAUCUUUGAACGCACAUUGCGCCCUUUGGCAUUCCGAAGGGCAUGCCUGUUCGAGCGUCAUUAUCAACCCUCAAGCCUGGCUUGUUGUUGGACCCGGGACCCUUGUCAGGGUCAACCGGUCUCAAAGACAAUGACGGCGUCCGUGAGACCCUCGGUACAAUGAGCUUUCUGAGCACGUACCGCAGCGGGCUGGCGGACCCGGUCCUCCUUUUUUAAUUUCGUAAGGUUGACCUCGGAUCAGGUAGGAAUACCCGCUGAACUUAAGCAUAUCAAUAAGCGGAGGA